UACGAAGGGGGCUAGCGUUGUUCGGAAUCACUGGGCGUAAAGCGUACGUAGGCGGAUACUUAAGUCAGAGGUGAAAGCCUGGAGCUCAACUCCAGAACUGCCUUUGAUACUGGGUGUCUUGAGUCCGGGAGAGGUGAGUGGAACUGCUAGUGUAGAGGUGAAAUUCGUAGAUAUUAGCAAGAACACCAGUGGCGAAGGCGGCUCACUGGCCCGGUACUGACGCUGAGGUACGAAAGCGUGGGGAGCAAACAGG
rnacentral:rRNA from 1 species